rnacentral:miRNA from 1 species
UACAACGGCCAGGCGACAUU